rnacentral:rRNA from 1 species
AUUGAACGCUGGCGGCAUGCCUAACACAUGCAAGUCGAACGAGUGGCAGACGGGUGAGUAAUGUCUGGGAAACUGCCCGAUAAAGGGGGAUAACUAAUGGAAACGGUAGCUAAUACCGCAUACCAUCGGAUGUGCCCAGCUGGGAUUAGCUAGUAGGUGGGGUAAAGGCCCACCUAGGCGACGAGCACUAGCUGGUCUGAGAGGAGGAAAAGCCACACGGGAACUGAGACACGGUCCAGACUCCUACGGGAGGCAGCAGUGGGGAAUAUUGCACAAUGGGCGCAAGCCUGAGGCAGCCAUGCCGCGUGUAUGAAGAAGGCCUUCGGGUUGUAAAGUACUUUCAGCAGGGAGGCGUUACCCGCAGAAGAAGCACCGGCGAACUACGUGCCAGCCGCCGCGGUAAUUC